UUAUGUGGAAUUUGUAAGAAACAAACCAAUCUUGCUUAUUUAGUUUACGAAUAUAGCCUUAGCAUUAUCUCAAAAUAAAAGAAAAUUCAAAAUAACUCUAUGAAUCACACACACACAAAUAAAUAAAUAAAUAAAUAAAUAAAGGUAUUGUCCAGUCAAUGAAUGAGUCAAUAAGUCAUUAAAUUUUUGCUCUACUUGAUUUCAUUAUAAAAAGUUCCUUUCCUUAGUCUCGCUCUAAGUACGUUUUAAAAGUCAUUUCCAGUCACCAGCCUCUAAAUUCUGCAGUAAUAAAUAAUAGCACGAAAAUGAGCAAGAAUGGAGGAGAAGUUUUUGGGCCAGCGGUAGGAAUCGAUCUCGGGACAACAUACUCUUGUGUAGCUGUUUGGGAACAUAAUAAAGUUGAAGUCAUUGUGAACGACCAAGGCAACCGUACAACACCAUCUUGUGUAGCCUUCAAUGAAAGCAAUCGCCUCAUUGGCGAGGCUGCUAAGAACCAGGCAAAUCUUAAUCCUACUAAUACAAUCUAUGACCAGGCAACGUUGGGUAGAUAAUAAAAAUCAAAGUAAUAAAGGGCAGCAAGUUCGUGCUCCAAAAUUAAGAUUGGUUGACUAUAUUAUUUUGAAUCUGUUCAAAUUACUAGCUCUUCAUUUGCAAAUAGUAUGGUAAUUUGUUCUGGUUUUUGUUGAUGUAUCUGAGUAAUUGAUUAUGUUUCCCGUCCUAAGUUAGUGAUGGUGUGCCUAUUCUACAUUUGUUGAAUUUUAAAGGGUAAACAACGAAUUUUCGUUUUUGAGAAUUAAAUUUGAAGUUUUUGCUUUUGUGUUUAGUUGAAAAUUGAUUUGGGGUGGAUGAUUUGGUUCAUUCAUGGGGUAAGACUUUAGAGAUCCAAGUUUAUUACUUUUUUCUAAUUGCUAUAGCCAUUGUUCAAGCUCAUGUGCAUGCUUGACCUAAACGAACAAAAGAAUGUAAUCAAGCUAAUUAAUCCACUUUGAUUUCUCUUUUCUUGGACAGUAAGGAACUCUGAUUUAAUAUUAAUAGGUUGCAUAAUGACGCUAUAUUUAAUUAAUUAGAUGACAAAAUAGCAUGAUAAAUUGUGUUUUUACAGGAUUUAUUAAUUUGUUUAUUUUGGUUGAGUUUGAAUCAAUUUCCUUGGAUCCACACAACUAAACUUACUCCGUAAAUAUACUGAGUAUAUAGACUUUCUUGUAUAAAUCAGAUUUAAAUAACAGGGUUUAUACGCUGUACAUGUCUUUUGGUCUUGUCCCUUAGUUGUAGCCAAUUAAAUUACCCAGUGGAGGAAGGGCAUAUCAUGUAUAUGAUAGUGGGUUUUGGAGGGUUUAAGGAAAAGAAAAAGAUAAGAUUAUUUUGGCUCCAAAUGUUGUGUUUCAGUCUAUUUUAUUAAGUCAUGCAUAAAUAUAUAGCAUUAAUUUUUUCAAUUCAGAGUAAGAGAAGCAUUAUUAAGUUGGCAAUAAACCGCAGAGGCCAUCAGAUCAACUUACUAGAAAUUCAGUAAAUGCACAAAUGGAAAAUACAUACAAUUUUUUUUUUUUUAAGAAAGGAACUAAAUGGAAAGGAUCUAGGCAUUAUUCUAAGUGGUCGUACGAAUUGAAUGUCAUUUACUCAAUACACUAUGUAGCAUUUGAACUGUAAGUGUUCAAUUAAUUAAGUUGGCUUUUUGACUUGUCAAGCAUCAUGCCAGUGGAGUCAAUCUCUGAGUUUGUUUGGGAUUGUUUGAACUAUUUUGUUGUGGAGUCCAUCUUUGAUUUUGUUUGGGAUUAAUUGAACUAUUUUGUUAUAACGAAUGCAAGUAAAUGAUUUUGAAUGACCCUUAAUCACAUAGUAGUUACUUCCCAAUUAAUAAUACUAUUGAAAGCAUAUGCAAUCAUUCAAAUCAUAUGCCUAUGCAUUUUAAAAAUAAAAUAAACAAAACACAAAAAAUUAAAUUAAAAAAAAAAACCCUGUUUUUUCCAAGCAUAGACUCUCAGGAUUUGUAGUGAAUCCAACAUACCCAAAUCAGAAGGUAGCUCUUUCAGGCUAUGACAAUUAGUGAUGCUCAGAGGCACUAGUGUGUUGUUCUAUAUGGCUCAUUAACUAGUUGCUUUGGGCAUUCGUAUGGCUAUGGAUGCUCCUGUUUCUUCUGG